ACCUGCCCAGUGGGAUCUUCGUAUCCACCCCUGAGGCAUGGGGUGGAGGGUGCAGGAGGGCCUUUGCUGUGUCUCUCCCACAGGAGGAUGCAUGUUACAGGAAGCAUUUACUGACCCCUGCUCUAGAGGAAUGCCACAAGUAUGAUUUGUGCCUGUUCUUGCGCUGCCUCUGGACAUACCACAGUCUAUAAAACCAGCAAGGUGCUGUGGAACAUGUUUAUAUCGUCAUGCAGUCUCUGGACCUGUGCCUUUGUACGUGAUGCUGGAGUAGUCGGGACGGUGGGCCGUAAGAGUAUUCCGCAGAAGUGACUGUGCAGUGCUUUUGUAAAAUAGCCGCUAAAUACAAGUUAAAUCCAUCCCACAGCCACUCCUGACACCUGCAUGAAGAGAUGUGACACAGAGGGGCAGAUGGAUGGAGAACGAUGGCAGUGUUAAUGAAUUGUAUUUAAAUAUCUUAUUUUUGACAAGUCGUGACCAUAGGCACACAUUAGUGGGGCCCGUGUCAGGGCCUUCGGAAAGAGCUGGGCAAGAGAGAAGCACUGAGGCUAGAGCAUCCUCAGUCCACCUCUGUUCGCCCACAGAGCUCAUACUGGAGGGAGGGAGAAGGAGAGAGAGUAGUAGAC
rnacentral:lncRNA from 1 species